CCGCGACACUCUCAGAAGCACGCGUCCCUUCUGUCGCCCUCGCAGCAUCUUCCCUCGCGCUGGGCCAGCAAAAGGAGGCGCGAAAGGGGCGCCCGAGAAAGCGUAGCACAAGAGAAUGGAGAUGAAAAUAUGUUGCGAGGCAGUUGAUGGAAUUUUACAGCGAUAGAAUUCCAGCAAGAGCGAAUAUUUUUUUCGGUGAAAUACAUGAGUGAUAGAGGCGCACCAUCACAGGAUCCGCAAGAUUCACUGUGAGGCACACGAAACACACACCAAAAACACAAUCACUCUAUAUAUAGAAUUGCUCUCAAAAGCUCUCUUCACACUGAAAAAUGGAGAGAGAGGAAACGGAAGAGAAUAAGGGUAAAAGUAAGAGGGAGAAGACGGGCGGGAAAAUGCCUGAUCCAGACAGUUACGAUGAUGAGCUCGUGUCGGCAAAUCAGAACCAACGAAAUUGGCGCGGAAUUCUCAUUGCCCUCCUCGUGAUCAUAAUCGUUUUGGCGCUAAUUGUCACAUCAGUGGUCCUCCUCACGCCGCCCGACGAGGGGCCGCGCGUCAAGGGUGAGCGCAUCAAGCUGCAGGACAUCGUGAAUGGCGAGUACAACGCGGCGAAGGUGAACGGCGACUGGGUGGGCCCAGAUGAGUUCCUCUACGAGAAUCAAUGGGGCGAAAUAAGUCUGCUCAAUGUGGCGAAUCUCUCUGCCAAGACACUAAUGUCCAACACAACAUUCAAAGCUCUUGCUCCGGCGAAAUUCUCCGUGUCGCGCGAUCGAAAGUACCUCUUGUUGGCUCACAAUGUCCAGAAGCUCUUCCGGCACUCCUUCCUGGCGCAGUACAGCGUCUUCGACACGCUCUCCAGCGAGACGUUCCAGCUGUCGCCGCUGCCGGAGGAUCCGCAGUGGCCGUUUCUGCUGCACGCCCAGUUCACGCCCAACAGCAACUCCAUCGUGAUGGUGCACAAGUACGACAUUUACUUCCGCACCAGCCCCAGAUCGCAGCAAUCCUACCGCGUCACGAAGACGGGCGUGCCGGGCGUGAUUCACAACGGCGUGGCGGAUUGGCUGUACGAGGAGGAGGUCCUGGGCACGAGCGCCUCCAUCGCCCUGUCCAACGACGGCCACCUCAUGCUCUACGCCACCUUCAACGACACCCUCGUGAGCGAGCAGAAGUUCUCGUGGUACGGCGUCACGAAUUCGCUGGGCGGCGAGAACCUCUACCCGGAAAUCCGCGCCAUUCGCUACCCAAAGCCAGGCACCACGAAUCCCACCGUCACGCUCAACAUCGCCGACCUGGCCAACCCCAAGAACAUCAGAAUCCGGGCUCUCACGCCGCCCACUGUCCUGGCAAAUGAGGAUCGAUACUUCACCAGUGCCGCCUGGAUAUCCCAGACCGAAGUCAGUGUCGUGUGGCUGAACAGGCCGCAGAAUCUAUCUGUGGUCAGUCUGUGCAAGAGCCCAAUGUGGGAGUGCCAAGAGACUCACCGGAUUAGUGGCGACAAUCGCGGCUGGGUCGAUGAGUACUCCGUGCCAUUCUUCAGCGCCAACGGCAGCUCCUACAUCGCCGUGUCGCCGCUCCGUGACGGCGGCGCCGGCCACUUCCGCCACCUCGUGCACAUUCACAUUCCCAAGAAGCAGAUUCUGCCGCUCACGCACGGUCGCUACGAAGUCACGAAGAUCGUCUAUUGGGAUCAAAUCAACAAUUUCAUCUAUUACCUGGGCACGCCGGAGUACCUUCCCGGCCAGCAACACCUGUACCGCGUGUCCUCCAGUCCGCCCAAGUUCGGCGUCCCACUGCGCCCGCCGCGCUGUCUCACCUGUCCCAGCGUGAAUCGCGUGGGAACCACCACGAAAUCCCCGCCGCGACUCGUCACCACCUGGGAGGACGACUGGGAGGAUGAGGUGAUCACGCCGGCGCCGCCGACUGUGCCGCCGAAGCGGCAGAAGAAGAAGAAAAAGGACUCCGCCCCGCGCGGCCCGCUGCCGUGUCAGUAUCACACGGCACACUUCGCCCCACCGAGUGUCACGCCCUUCGUGCAGAUCGACUGCCUGGGCCCAGAAGUUCCCACGAGUGCCAUUUACCGGAUAGUCCAUGAGAAUCGCGAGAAACCGCUGCAACUCGUGCUGGCGAUUCAGAACAACACGCGCCUGCGCGAGAAGGUGGCCAAGAUCGCCAUGCCGCAGAUCAAGUCCUUCCCCGUGAUGAUCUCAGGCGGCUACUAUGCUCAGGUGCGACUCUUCCUGCCACCAGGCCUCCGGGAGGACGAGAUCACGCGCUAUCCCAUGAUCCUGCACGUCUAUUCAGCACCCGGAACGCAACUGGUCACGGAGAAGUGGCGCAUCGACUGGAACACUUACCUGGCGGGCACUAAGGACUACAUCGUGACGCAGAUUGACGGCCGCGGAUCCAGUGGUCAGGGCUAUCAGCUCCUGCACGAGGUCUACCGUCGCCUGGGCACCGUGGAAGUGUCAGAUCAGCUGGAAGUCACCGAGUAUCUGCGGGACAAUCUUCACUUCGUGGACAAGCGUCGCGUUGGCGUGUAUGGAUGGAGUUUCGGUGGCUUCGCGGCCACUCUGGCCCUCGCCAAUUCCCAGUCACUCUUCCAGUGUGGCAUCAGCGUGUCUCCCGUCACGAACUGGAAGCUCUACGAUUCGGCUUACACGGAGAGAUACAUGGGAUUACCGAAUGUGACAGACAACUACAAGGGUUACGAGGAGGCGGACUUGACGAAAAUAGCUGACAUGCUGCGAGACAAGCACUUCAUGAUGGUGCACGGGACGGCGGAUGACAAUGUCCACUUCCAGCAGAGCAUGAUCCUGGCCAAGGCGCUCGCGACGAAGGGGGCGCUGUUCAAGCAGCAAAUCUACCCGGAUGAGGGUCACAAUUUGUCGGGCGUGAAGCGUCACCUCUAUCGCUCCAUGACGCUCUUCUUUGAAGAUUGCUUUAAGAAACAAGUAAAUGACAGCCUCCUCUUCAUUGAACCCUUCUAAAAGAGACCAACACAUCACACAAGAACACGAGUUACGAAGAUCCUCUCUCUGUCUUUUGUAUUCAGCCAAAAUGUGUGUGUGUGUUUCUUCUCCUGCAUGAUUUUGCAACCCUCAAAAACACAUCUUCUUCUUCUCUUCAACAAACAAUACUGUGUCUCAAAGUGUUAUUUGCUUUUUGAUUCCCAUUGAAAUGAAGUCCGGACUCGGAAAUGGUGGUUCAUCGGAUUAAGUCUCAUUUAACACGCGCUACAGCCUCCCUCCCUCAUCCCCCUCGAGAUGAUUAGGUGACUUAGAGGAGAAAGAAGUUUUCAAAAAGGAAUUUGAGUGAUGCUAAAAGUGCCAAAUAUUUGAUGUUGUGACAACAUUCGCACCCACAAAUUUCACCAGAGAGACCACGAAGAGCGAGAAUCAGUGAACAAAAUGAUGUAUAUUGUUGGCAAAACCACAAAUCUGCAUGUUGAUGGUUUUGAAUCAUGCUCAAAUUGUUGCAAAGCCCAAAAUUGUAGAUGGUUAAAGCUCACUCAUGUAUAAGUGAAAAGCUUUUUGUACAAAGCAAUGCCAUAUAGAGGAAAAUAUUAAAUCUUGUGCAUGAUUGACAAUUUAUUAGCGCCAAAAUAAAAAAUUGCGCCCUCCAAAAUGUGCAAAAAAGUGAGCACUAAAAGAAUUAAGAAAAUAAAAACGAACUGUAAAUAGAGGAAUAAGGAUAUCUAACUACACAGGAAAUUGGGCAAUACACGCAGGAGGAAGGAAAAAAGUUGUGCAAGAGAGAGAGAAUAUUCCUCCCUUUUUGCGCUCCACAUUAAUAAUUCACAUAUCGAAAUUGAGUUUUUCGCUUUUCGCAACGUCCAACGCACUCUGCAGAGCAACCAAGAGUCCACCCACUUUUUUCCUCCCACCCUCUCACAUCAAGCAACUUUCAAAGCAAUCUCUAGCACGUAAGCACGCAACAGUGUGAAAUUAUUUUGUCUUAGCUCUUAGAGACACUCCAUUAUUAAGCAGUCUCAUUCGAUCAUUAUUAUCAAAAAAAAAGAAGAAGAAAUGAAAAAAAGAGGAGAACGGAGAGAAAACGCAGGAAGAAAAUUGGGAAAAUGUCAAUAGAAUUACUGCCAAUUGAUGAGAAAAUUGUUUAGAGGACGCGAAAGAAGCUCCGAAAUUAACAAAAGGUCUCCCUUUUCUUAGAUGUUUAGUACGAGAAAUAUCAUGAGUGUGGAAAGAAAAUUUUCUCUUGAAAUGAUAAAAAAAAAGAAGCUAUUUCGGCCUAAAAGACACCUCACCAUAUUUCUUCAUCACAUUUCCCCUCCCCCCUAAAAACAUGAUAAGAUAAUAAAUUUAGCGAAUAGAGUAAUGAAAAAAACAAAAUGUAUUCUUUAAAAUUGACAAAAAAAAUUAUCCCACUUCAUCUCUGCGAGUGAAAAAAAGCAUUACGUAGAAGAGAGGAUAAGUAAAAAGACUUUCUAAAAACAAAUUUCUAAUAAUAAUAAUAUAUAUAAAAGAAGAAAAAGAAGUGAGAGCACGAGAGAAUAACUGAAUUAAUGGAUGAAAUUCCUUUAUUAAAGCAGACAUUUAGAUGAAUAAAUUAAAUUAAAUUAUUAAGGGUCCAAAUAGACACACUGACACACAACAAAUAAAAGACAUUUUGGGAAAGAGCACGAAAAGGAGAAUGCGAGAAACACAUAAUAAAUACAAGAAUGGAUAUCAUUGAUUGGGACAAUGGAAGUAAUAAAAAAAAAAGUUGUUGCAUAGAAUAUUAAGAAUACCAAGAAAACCAUACAAUUUAAAAGUAAAAUGAAAGAUAAAUGUCGUAAUUUGAGAAUAAAACAUUCACGAGUAAUAAUUAUAUGGUAAUAUUGCCUUCUUCCUCUAACGUAGAAAAAGAGUUCCAGAAAUGAAAAAUUUUACUAUAGAGAAAACAAAACUGUAUAAAAAAGGACAUAAAACUCCUCCCCAGUGAUUAAAGGGACAAAGACAGAAAGAGUGAAACAGAGAGAAUAUUUUAGGCGCAAGUUGCGAAGAAAAAAAAUGAGUUUAGACAUCAUUUGUAAAAUAAUGAAUUAUAGAAAAAAAGAAUAUUUCCACUGUAAAUAUAGCGUUUCCAUUGAAACUUGUGUGCGAAGUUUCUUGUUACUUGUUUAAACCACGGCAAAAGAGAUGAACUUUGCGGGGAGUUUAAUUGAAUUCUAGCUGAAACUUUCCAUCUUUACUGAUAAUGGAGUUCUUUUGUUGCAAAGAAGAAAAAAAACAUAGGAUGAAAAAGAAUCACUUUUCAAUCGAAUUCAAUUAAUUCAAAAAUAGAGACGAUUUAGAGAAAAGAGUCACAGAGACGAAAAACGAAAAAGAUAAAUUUAGAAACUUCUCUGGAGCACAAUUUUGAAAUUAUAUUAAAAAACAAGACAUGAAAAGAGAACAUUUGAGAAAUGAAUGGAAAAUAAAGUGAUUGAAAAGA